UACGUAGGGGCCAAGCGUUGUCCGGAUUUAUUGGGCGUAAAGAGCUCGUAGGCGGUUCGGCAAGUCAGCUGUGAAAUCUCCACGCUCAACGUGGAGGGGUCAGCUGAUACUGCUGUGACUUGAGUCCGGUAGGGGAGUGUGGAAUUCCCGGUGUAGUGGUGAAAUGCGUAGAUAUCGGGAGGAACACCAGUGGCGAAGGCGACUUCCUGGCCUGUUCUUGACGCUGAGGCGCGAAAGCUAGGGGAGCAAACGGG
rnacentral:rRNA from 1 species